rnacentral:lncRNA from 1 species
CCCCAUUUCGGGGAAUGCUGAGGUCCCCGGAAGUAAUAGCGAUGGCACCGGGAGGCAGCGGUAGACCUGCAUCACAAAGCUGAACAUACCCGGGAGCCAAUCAGUGGGCAGCUUCUCUCCAAAUCCCUCACAACCAGGCAGCUGGCUCAGCAUGUCAGGCAAAUUCCAAAAAACCUCCCAGCUCAGAAAAAACACUCUUGAGACUCAGGUGCCAUAGCCUGCAGAAGCCAAAUCUCACCGACCCAGACUGGCAAAGCCCAUGCAGGUUUGCACUUGGACGUGAACUUGGACAAGGAAAUGGUUCACCCUUCUCAAGGUAACAGAGCAAGAGACAAGUCAUCACUUUGUGGCUUCAUAUGGAAGCACCUGUAAAUGAAGUGGGGACGAAGCAGGACAUGAUCCCCACAAGGGUUGUUUCGGAGACUAAGAAGAAGAAGAACAUAUUCAUAAAUGAUUAUCCACUGACCAACUGACUGAAAU